CUCUUUGGUAUUGAUCUCUUCCAUCUGCCCUGAAUUACUUCCAUUGCUGACCUGCGAGCCGGUCACCGAAGGGUUGGGCUCCCGGGCUGUGCCCAGGAGCUGUCCGUGGCCCUGGGCAUUCAGAAUUCUAUAUUAAUGGAGGAGGAACCCUGACCAAGAUUGUGAGGGAGCCGGUGAGGAGACGACAGAACUUUUCGGAUUUGGAGCAGCGGUGAACACUACUUUUCCAGCCCUCGUCUUUUGGAAGUCCGCGACGGAUUAGCAGUGGCCGUCUGAUGGUGGAGAGUGUCAAAGCUGGGAACUGAAAAGGCAGGGGUGAGAGUGAGGACCCUCCUGUUGACGUCAUUCAAAGCGACUCAAAGUAAGGAAAACUCAGAGGGGUGGACCAAGCGCCAAUUGUAUUAGCAACGCUCUCUAUAACAACAUUCUUCUCCGACGUUGGAGAUAAUUACUAAAGAGCAGAAGUCACCAGCCACCACCCAGCCGGGAGCCUCAGACACAGCGCAGGGCUUGGAGCAGCCACCCUACCCCAAGCCCGGCCCGACACACUUCCACUUGGCGAACUCCACCGUCGCCCAGCAACGCCGCCGACGCAGGCCCAGAACAGCUGCACUUGGGAAGGAGGAAAACUCUUUAAACAAAUCAUUUUGGUGUCUAAUCAAUUAGUGUUUGCGCAGUCAAGUACCAUAGAUUUAACAGAAUAAUCGUUACUGCCCUUGUCUUUAUUUGACCCGCAGACACCUAGAAGAUUUAAAAAUAAAACGCAGGUGUUCUGAGCGCCUGCCCUGUUGCCUGCACCUCCCUCCUCAGCUUGCUCCGCUGGGUUUGGCUUUUGGUUUUACCAAGACCGGGGGUGGGGGUGGGGUGGGGCGGAGGGACUCACAUUUUUCUUUGUCCUUCACUUUCCUAUCACCCUCCCCCAUUUCCGACUUGGCCCUUCACAAAUCAGUCACCUUAUCGGUGUGUCCCCAUCCUCCAUCUCUGACCCAGAGACUCUGUGCCCUGGCCCUUUUGCCUGAUGGUGUAGUAUUACGGAGUGGACCACAGUCAGUCCUCUGGUCCACCCCAGUCUCCAGACCUCGGCCCUCACGCGCCUUUCAGAACCUGUCCAAGACACAAGGUGUCUCGUGCUUGACCUUCAGUUUCUAUGAAGUUGGGGAAAAACCUUGGCCAGGGCGUGGGUCUUGCAUGCCUUAGGGGUCUUGCUCCACAGAUCUCUCUCUCUCUCUCUCUCUCUCUCUCUCUCUCUCUCUCUCUCUCUCUCUCUCUCUCUCUCUCUCUCUCUCUCUC